UACGAAGGGUGCUAGCGUUGUUCGGAAUUACUGGGCGUAAAGAGCACGUAGGCGGAUCGAUCAGUCAGAGGUGAAAGCCCCGAGCUCAACUUGGGAACUGCCUUUGAUACUGUCGAUCUAGAGUCCGAGAGAGGUGAGUGGAAUUCCCAGUGUAGAGGUGAAAUUCGUAGAUAUUGGGAAGAACACCAGUGGCGAAGGCGGCUCACUGGCUCGGUACUGACGCUGAGGUGCGAAAGCGUGGGGAGCAAACAGG
rnacentral:rRNA from 1 species